rnacentral:rRNA from 1 species
GAUGAACGCUGGCGGCGUGCCUAAUACAUGCGAGUCGAGCGAACAGACGAGGAGCUUGCUCCUCUGACGUUAGCGGCGGACGGGUGAGUAACACGUGGAUAACCUACCUAUAAGACUGGGAUAACUUCGGGAAACCGGAGCUAAUACCGGAUAAUAUAUUGAACCGCAUGGUUCAAUAGUGAAAGACGGUUUUGCUGUCACUUAUAGAUGGAUCCGCGCCGCAUUAGCUAGUUGGUAAGGCAACGGCUUACCAAGGCGACGAUGCGUAGCCGACCUGAGAGGGUGAUCGGCCACACUGGAACUGAGACACGGUCCAGACUCCUACGGGAGGCAGCAGUAGGGAAUCUUCCGCAAUGGGCGAAAGCCUGACGGAGCAACGCCGCGUGAGUGAUGAAGGUCUUCGGAUCGUAAAACUCUGUUAUUAGGGAAGAACAAAUGUGUAAGUAACUAUGCACGUCUUGACGGUACCUAAUCAGAAAGCCACGGCUAACUACGUG